UGAUGAGCGGUGUUUGGCGGGAGUGGUAUCCACAGCGAGGGAAAGAAGCCAGGAGGCUGACAGUCCUGAGGCUGAGGGUCUGACGCCCUGAUCCUUGCAAAAACCCAAGAUAACCAGAAACUCGUCACUCUGGACUAGGACUCCACCCGCCUGCGUUCCAGAGCUCAGCAGAGUGAAAGAAGCCCAACCAGCCUUUUUUCAAGGAACAAAUGAAAAGAACAUUCUUUAUUAACUCACCUGGCUCAAAUUUCGAUUUGCCUCAGUUGAAUGACUAACUGCAAGGCUCAUCUAUCAAAUGAAGUUACCAACAACGCGAUC